UGGGGAAUCUUGCGCAAUGGGCGAAAGCCUGACGCAGCGACGCCGCGUGCGGGAAGAAGGCCUUCGGGUUGUAAACCGCUUUCAGGAGGGACGAAGCCACUCGGGUUAAUAGCCCAGAGGGUGACGGUACCUCCAGAAGAAGCCCCGGCUAACUACGUGCCAGCAGCCGCGGUAAUACGGAGGGGGCAAGCGUUGUCCGGAUUUAUUGGGCGUAAAGCGCGUGUAGGCGGCCAGGUAGGUCGGAUGUGAAAACUGGAGGCUCAACCUCCAGACGUCGACCGAAACCAUGUGGCUAGAGUCCGGGAGAGGAGGGUAGAAUUCCUGGUGUAGCGGUGAAAUGCGCAGAUAUCAGGAAGAACACCGAUGGCGAAGGCAGCUCUCUGGGACGGUACUGACGCUGAGACGCGAAAGCGUGGGGAGCGAACAGG
rnacentral:rRNA from 1 species